CGGACGGGUGAGUAAUGCCUAGGAAUCUGCCUGGUAGUGGGGGACAACGUUUCGAAAGGAACGCUAAUACCGCAUACGUCCUACGGGAGAAAGCAGGGGACCUUCGGGCCUUGCGCUAUCAGAUGAGCCUAGGUCGGAUUAGCUAGUUGGUGAGGUAAUGGCUCACCAAGGCGACGAUCCGUAACUGGUCUGAGAGGAUGAUCAGUCACACUGGAACUGAGGCACGGUCCAGACUCCUACGGGAGGCAGCAGCGC
rnacentral:rRNA from 1 species